UACAGAGGGUGCGAGCGUUAAUCGGAGUUACUGGGCGUAAAGGGCGCGUAGGCGGUUAGUUAAGAUUGUUGUGAAAUCCCUGGGCUCAACCUAGGAACUGCAACGAUGACUGGCUAGCUAGAGUACUGUAGAGGGUAGUGGAAUUUCCGGUGUAGCGGUGAAAUGCGUAGAGAUCGGAAGGAACACCUGUGGCGAAAGCGGCUCACUGGACCAUAACUGACGCUGAUGCACGAAAGCUAGGGGAGCAAACAGG
rnacentral:rRNA from 1 species